GGAAUUGACGGGACCCGCACAAGCAGCGGAGCGUGUGGUUUUAAUUCGUUGCUACACGAAGAACCUUACCUGGGUUUGACAUAUAGGUUGUAGGGAACUGAAAAGGGACCGACCCUUCGGGGAGCCUAUACAGGUGUUGCAUGGCUGUCGUCAGCUCGUGUCGUGAGAUGUUCGGUUAAGUCCGCUAACGAGCGCAACCCUCGUCGUAUGUUAUAUGUGUCAUACGAGACUGCCGGUAAAAAGCCGGAGGAAGGUGAGGAUGACGUCAAGUCAGCAUGGCCUUUAUAUCCUGGGCUACACACACGCUACAAUGGGAAGGGACAAUAGGUUGCGAAGCCGCGAGGCGGAGCCAAUCCAGCAAAACUUCCCUCAGUUCAGAUUGCAGGCUGCAACUCGCCUGCAUGAAGUUGGAGUUGCUAGUAAACGCAGGUCAGCCAUACUGCGUUGAAUACGUUCCCGGGGCUU
rnacentral:rRNA from 1 species